rnacentral:rRNA from 1 species
AUUGAACGCUGGCGGCAGGCUUAACACAUGCAAGUCGAGCGGUAGCACAAGAGAGCUUGCUCUCUGGGUGACGAGCGGCGGACGGGUGAGUAAUGUCUGGGAAACUGCCUGAUGGAGGGGGAUAACUACUGGAAACGGUAGCUAAUACCGCAUAACGUCGCAAGACCAACGAGGGGGACCUUCGGGCCUCUUGCCAUCAGAUGCGCCCAGAUGGGAUUAGCUAGUAGGUGGGGUAAUGGCUCACCUAGGCGACGAUCCCUAGCUGGUCUGAGAGGAUGACCAGCCACACUGGAACUGAGACACGGUCCAGACUCCUACGGGAGGCAGCAGUGGGGAAUAUUGCACAAUGGGCGCAAGCCUGAUGCAGCCAUGCCGCGUGUGUGAAGAAGGCCUUCGGGUUGUAAAGCACUUUCAGCGAGGAGGAAGGUGGUGAACUUAAUACGUUCAUCAAUUGACGUUACUCGCAGAAGAAGCACCGGCUAACUCCGUG